GCGUAACGCGUGGGAAUCUGCCCUUGGGUUCGGAAUAACAGUUGGAAACGACUGCUAAUACCGGAUGAUGUCUUCGGACCAAAGAUUUAUCGCCCAGGGAUGAGCCCGCGUAAGAUUAGCUAGUUGGUGGGGUAAAGGCCUACCAAGGCGACGAUCUUUAGCUGGUCUGAGAGGAUGAUCAGCCACACUGGGACUGAGACACGGCCCAGACUCCUACGGGAGGCAGCAGUGGGGAAUAUUGGACAAUGGGCGAAAGCCUGAUCCAGCAAUGCCGCGUGAGUGAUGAAGGCCUAGGGUUGUAA
rnacentral:rRNA from 1 species